rnacentral:rRNA from 1 species
UACGUAGGGGGGCAAGCGUUGUCCGGAAUCAUUGGGCGUAAAGAGCGCGUAGGCGGCCCUGUAAGUCCGCUGUGAAAGUCAAGGGCUCAACCCUUGGAUGCCGGUGGAUACUGCAGGGCUAGAGUCCGGAAGAGGCGAGUGGAAUUCCUGGUGUAGCGGUGAAAUGCGCAGAUAUCAGGAGGAACACCGAUGGCGAAGGCAGCUCGCUGGGACGGUACUGACGCUGAGGCGCGAAAGCGUGGGGGAGCAAACAGG